rnacentral:rRNA from 1 species
UACGGAGGAUCCGAGCGUUAUCCGGAUUUAUUGGGUUUAAAGGGUGCGCAGGCGGGAGAUUAAGUCGGCGGUGAAAUUUUGCAGCUCAACUGUAAAAGUGCCUUCGAAACUGGUUUCCUUGAGUGUAGAUGAAGUAGGCGGAAUUUGUGGUGUAGCGGUGAAAUGCAUAGAUAUCACGAGGAACUCCGAUUGCGAAGGCAGCUUACUAAACUACUACUGACGCUCAGGCACGAAGGCGUGGGGAUCAAACAGGAUUAGAUACCCCUGUAGU